rnacentral:rRNA from 1 species
AGCGAAGUAAGAAAGAGCACACGGGGGAUGCCUAGGGUCUCAGAGGCGACGAAGGACGCGAUAAGCUGCGAUAAGCUGGGGGCAGAGGCACAUACUCGUUCAUCCCCAGAUUUCCGAAUGGGGCAACCCCCUGCCUGGAAGAGGCAGGAACCGACCCGCUUGACGGGCGGUGGCAAACGCCGGGAACUGAAACAUCUAAGUACCGGCAGGAAAAGAAAAUAACAAUGAUUCCCCAAGUAGUGGCGAGCGAACGGGGAGGAGCCCAAACCGGGUUGGUUACGGCCAAUCCGGGGUUGUAGGACCACGACAUCUGACUAAACCGAGUUAGCCGAAGCUGUUGGGAAACAGCAUCAUAGAGGGUGAAAAUCCCGUAGGCGACAAUUCUGGUUUACGGUAGUGGUAUCCUGAGUAGGGCGGGGCCGGAGAAACCCCGUCUGAAGCUGGCGGCACCAUCCGCCAAGGCUACAUACUCCUGAGACACCGAUAGUGAACUAGUACCGUGAGGGAAAGGUGAAAAGAACCGGGAAUACCGGAGUGAAAAGAACCUGAAACCGUGUGCUUACAAGCAGUCAGAGGGCUUUAGUGGCCUGAUGGCGUGCCUUUUGCAUAAUGAGCCUACGAGUUACUCCUCCCCGGCAAGGUUAAGUACUUUAAGGUACGGAGCCGCAGCGAAAGCGAGUCUGAACAGGGCGCGCAGUCGGGGGGGGUAGACGCGAAACUUUGUGAGCUACCCUUGAGCAGGUUGAAGG